rnacentral:lncRNA from 1 species
CUUCCAUAUCUAUUUCUAGAUUUCCCUCCUCCUCCUAUUCAUCAUAAUGUUAAAUCUAAAUAUGAAAGGCUAAAAAAUCCAGUGUUGUUAUGUUUCUCUUCCUAUAUCAAGGUUGUGAUGAAGUAAAUACUUAUCAUAGGAUUUUGAAAUUUCUGUUAUCAUUCUCCAAGCAAAAUCACUAAUUUCCUACUGCAUUUGCUUGUAGAAUCACUUUUAUAUUUCUCUUUGCUAAGCUUUCGGUUAGGUACAUACAGCUGGAAGUUUUAGCAAAUAGAUGAAUCGUGUUCCUGCAUUUGUGUGUCUUUAUCUAGUUACAAUGUCAACAAACUAUAAAAAGCUUCUGACUGUUAUUUAGGAUUUUCUGUAUAGCCUAUGAAUCACAGUACUUUCUUUGCAGAUG